GAUAUAUAGAGAUGUUAAAAUGAAGAGCAUGGAAAUGUCUGGUGGUGUGAUUUGCUGCUCUGCCCUCUGUUGUCAAGAUUGCUCUCACUCAAGAAAAACAGUCUUGGGCCCAGCCACAAAGAUGAGCCUACGGAUGGGAGGAGUCAGUCAGUCAGAUCUAACCAUUCUACGUAAUUGUCACCACCUGGCUGGAUUCCUGAUCCUGUCAAAAAUGGAUCUCUGGCCACAUACAUGGCCUCAAACCUUCCUCUUCUUGG